rnacentral:rRNA from 1 species
UGUAUUCGAUAAGUCAUUACGACUCUCGGCAACGGAUAUCUCGGCUCUCGCAUCGAUGAAGAACGUAGCAAAAUGCGAUACGUGGUGUGAAUUGCAGGAUCCCGUGAACCAUCGAGUUUUUGAACGCAAGUUGCGCCCGAAGCCUUUAGGCUGA